rnacentral:rRNA from 1 species
AUUGAACGCUGGCGGCAGGCUUAACACAUGCAAGUCGAACGAGUGGCGGACGGGAGAGGAAUGCUUGGGAAUCUAGCUAAUGGAGGGGGAUAACUACGGGAAACUGUAGCUAAUACCGCGUACCAUAGGAUGAGCCCAAGUGGGGGUAGGUAGUUGGUGAGGCAAAGGCUCACCAAGCCGACGAUCUCUAGCUGGAUUGAGAGGAUGACCUGCCACACUGGGGCUGAGAAACGGCCCAGACUCCUACGGCAGGCAGCAGUGGAGAAUAUUGCGCAAGGGGGGCCACCUUACGCAGCCAUGCCGCGUGAAUGAAGAAGGCCUUCGGGUUGUAAAGUUCUUUCGGUAGAGAGGCGUUAAAUACAGAAGAAGCACAGGCUAACUCCGUGCCAGCAGCCGCGGUACUUC